rnacentral:misc_RNA from 1 species
GAUGAAGAACGUAGCGAAAUGCGAUACUUGGUGUGAAUUGCAGAAUCCCGUGAACCAUCGAGUCUUUGAACGCAAGUUGCGCCCGAAGCCAUUAGGCCGAGGGCACGCCUGCCUGGGCGUCACACGUCGUUGCCCCCCCAUCUACUCCUUCGGGAUUGCGGGGGGCGGAUGAUGGCCUCCCGUGCGCCUCGCCGCGCGGUUGGCAUAAAUGCCAAGUCCUCGGCGACGCACGCCACGACAAUCGGUGGUUGCGAAACCUCGGUUGCCCGUCGUGUGCGGUCGUCGCGCAUCGAGGGCUCGAAAAAAUUGCCGGGUUCCGGCUCGGCUUUCAACGCGACCCCAGGUCAGGCGGGGUUACCCGCUGAGUUUAAGCAUAUCAAUAAGCGGAGGA